UGUUUGGUUGGUUUAUGUAUCACGGAC
rnacentral:sRNA from 1 species